rnacentral:rRNA from 1 species
GACGAACGCUGGCGGCGUGCUUAACACACGCAAGUCGAACGGGGCUUGCCCUUUGGGGUGGGUUUAGUGGCGAACGGGUGAGUAACACGUGGGUAAUCUGCCCUCAGCUCUGGGAUAACUCCGGGAAACCGGGGCUAAUACUGGAUAUGACUACUGGUGACAUCGCCUGGUGGUGGAAAGAUUUUUUGGCUGAGGAUGGGCCCGCGGCCUAUCAGCUUGUUGGUGGGGUAAUGGCCUACCAAGGCUCGACGGGUAGCCGGCCUGAGAGGGCGACCGGCCACACUGGGACUGAGACACGGCCCAGACUCCUACGGGAGGCAGCAGUGGGGAAUAUUGCGCAAUGGGCGGAAGCCUGACGCAGCGACGCCGCGUGAGGGAUGACGGCCUUCGGUUGUAA